rnacentral:rRNA from 1 species
UACAGAGGGGGCAAGCGUUGUUCGGAAUUACUGGGCGUAAAGCGUGCGUAGGUGGUUCGUUAAGUCUGAUGUGAAAGCCCUGGGCUCAACCUGGGAAUGGCAUUGGAAACUGGCGAUCUAGAGUGCGGUAGAGGGUAGUGGAAUUCCCGGUGUAGCAGUGAAAUGCGUAGAGAUCGGGAGGAACAUCUGUGGCGAAGGCGACUGCCUGGACCAGCACUGACACUGAGGCACGAAAGCGUGGAGAGCAAACAGG